UUCGCAAUGCCCGAAAGGGUGACGAAGCCACGCCGCGUGAGUGAAGAAGGCCCUAGGGUUGUAAAGCUCUGUCAGGGGUUAAGAAAUGCAGGCAGGUUAAUACCCUGUUUGUUUGACAAAAGCCCCAAAGGAAGCCACGGCUAACUCUGUGCCAGCAGCCGCGGUAAUACAGAGGUGGCAAGCGUUGUUCGGUAUUAUUGGGCGUAAAGAGCACGUAGGUGGUUUUGUAAGUCAGAUGUGAAAGCCUUCUGUUCAAAGGAAGAACGGCAUCUGAAACUGCAGAUCUUGAGUGUAGGAGGGGAGAGUGGAACUUCUGGUGGAGCGGUGAAAUGCGUAGAUAUCAGAAGGAACGUCGGCGGCGAAAGCGGCUCUCUGGCCCAUAACUGACGCUGAGUGUGCGAAAGCUAGGGGAGCAAACGGGAUUAGAUACCCCGGUAGUCCUAGCCGUAAACGAUGGGCACUAAGUAGAGGGGUUUU
rnacentral:rRNA from 1 species